CAGUCGAGCGGACAGAUGGGAGCUUGCUCCCUGAUGUUAGCGGCGGACGGGUGAGUAACACGUGGGUAACCUGCCUGUAAGACUGGGAUAACUCCGGGAAACCGGGGCUAAUACCGGAUGGUUGUUUGAACCGCAUGGUUCAAACAUAAAAGGUGGCUUCGGCUACCACUUACAGAUGGACCCGCGGCGCAUUAGCUAGUUGGUGAGGUAACGGCUCACCAAGGCAACGAUGCGUAGCCGACCUGAGAGGGUGAUCGGCCACACUGGGACUGAGACACGGCCCAGACUCCUACGGGAGGCAGCAGUAGGGAAUCUUCCGCAAUGGACGAAAGUCUGACGGAGCAACGCCGCGUGAGUGAUGAAGGUUUUCGGAUCGUAAAGCUCUGUUGUUAGGGAAGAACAAGUACCGUUCGAAUAGGGCGGUACCUUGACGGUACCUAACCAGAAAGCCACGGCUAACUACGUGCCAGCAGCCGCGGUAAUACGUAGGUGGCAAGCGUUGUCCGGAAUUAUUGGGCGUAAAGGGCUCGCAGGCGGUUUCUUAAGUCUGAUGUGAAAGCCCCCGGCUCAACCGGGGAGGGUCAUUGGAAACUGGGGAACUUGAGUGCAG
rnacentral:rRNA from 2 species